AUAGAGUUGGAGAAUCACUGAACAGUUGGGUUGGAAGGAACCUUAAAGCUCAUCUAAUUCCAACCCCACUGUUGUGGCCAGGGACACCUCCCUCCAGGUCAGGUUGCCCAAAGCCCCAUCCAGCCUGGCCUUGAACACUGCCAGGGUGGAGCAGGCACAGCUGCUCUGGGCAACCUGUUCCAGGGCCUCACCACCCUCUGAGUAAAG